GUAUUUGAGAUAUUUUUAGAAUUACCUAGGUUAUUGACCGUGCCUCUGCCAAGAGUUAACUGCUCUUAGUUUCCCCUCUUUCACUCUCAGAACGAUAGUGAUUGAAGCCUCAAAUUGAUACCCGGCCAUCAAGAAGUUCCUGUAACAGAUCAUCUUCUUCCUCCUCCAAAAAUAGGUCUUCACUUCUUGACACUCUAUCUCCUCUUAUCUCAGUCACAAAAACCCUAAGAACUCUGAAAUCCAAAGCACCAUCAGUGGUAAGCAGCUCAAGAAUCCUUUAGCUUUCUUUGCUGCAUCUGGGAUAUUUGAGCUAUCUACCUCGAAACCAUUGUAAAGAAAUCAAAAUACAUGUGAAAGUUGAUAUAAGCUUUACAAAUGUGAAGCCUUAUACCAUAAGCAGGUCCUAGUAUUAACUGGUGUAUACUGUAAAGUUACUUUGACAACUGCAACAAUUUAUUCAUUCAGAGUUUUGUAAUUUUGUAUUAUUGGUACUCUGUAAAUGUACAUUAUAUAUCAGACAAUAUGAUCUUAUAAAUCUUAUUUAAGUUGUUGAAGUAUUAUGUGCAAGAAGUAG
rnacentral:lncRNA from 1 species